CCUACGGGAGGCAGCAGUCGGGAAUUUUGGGCAAUGGGGGAAACCCUGACCCAGCAACGCCGCGUGAAGGAUGAAGUAUUUCGGUAUGUAAACUUCGAAAGAAUAGGAAGAAUUAAUGACGGUACUAUUUAUAAGGUCCGGCUAACUACGUGCCAGCAGCCGCGGUAAU
rnacentral:rRNA from 2 species